AAUCAACGCUGGCGGCGUGCCUAACACAUGCAAGUCGAACGCGAAAGCCCCUUCGGGGGUAAGUAGAGUGGCGUCCGGGUGAGUAACACGUAGGUAAUCUACCUUCGGGUGGGGAAUAACUCGCCGAAAGGCGAGCUAAUACCGCAUAAUGCAGCGGCACCUAAUGGUGAUUAGUUGUUAAAGCGGGGGAUCGUAAGACCUCGCGCCUGAAGAGGAGCCUGCGGCAGAUUAGCUAGNGGUGAGGUAAUGGCUCACCAAGGCUUCGAUCUGUAGCUGGUCUGAGAGGACGGCCAGCCACACUGGC
rnacentral:rRNA from 1 species